AAACAUGUCUUUUUGAAAAUAAUUUAAAGUCUAAUCUGCCCACUGAUNAAAUUAUUAAAGGGCUGCAGUAUUUUGACUGUACAAAGGUAGCAUAAUCAUUAGUCUCUUAAUUGGUGACUUGUAUGAAAGAUUGGAUGAAAUAUAUACUGUCUCUAAUUAAUUUAUAAAAUUUAAUUUUUUAGUAAAAAAGCUAAAAUAAUUUUAAAAGACGAGAAGACCCUAUAGAGUUUAAUAAUUUAUUUAAUUAUUAUUAAUAUUUAAAUUUUAAAAUUAAAAUUAAAUAAAUUAUUUUGUUGGGGUGAUAGAAAAAUUAAAUUAACUUUUUUUUUAUUUUAAACAUAAAUUUAUGAAUAGAUGAUCCAUUAAUAAUGAUUAAAAGAAAAAAUUACCUUAGGGAUAACAGCGUAAUUUUUUUUUUUAGUUCAAAUAGGAAAAAAAGUUUGCGACCUCGAUGUUGGAUUAAGAUAAAAUUUAAAUGCAAAA
rnacentral:rRNA from 1 species